CAGAUGAAGAACUCAUCUAUAUCUCGGAUGGCCUGAGGGUGUCCUGGUAACAGGUCGUCUGACUGCAGCUGUCAGAUGAUGAUGGUGAGAUGAUGGUGAUCGUGACCUAUGACCAGGCGUGAGCCAGGGAGGAUUCUGGGAAAUGGAGUCCUUAAAGUGACUUACACACAGGUCAUGCCAUAUGUACCACAUGUGCUCUUUAAAAGGCAACAUGGCCUAGUUCGUCCUCGCUGUAAAUAAACUGACCUCACCUUCAGCACAGCAUUCACCCUCAGAAGCAACAAACAGUGCCAUUAGACUGGGGUUAAUUGAGAGGGUGAGCCGUGGCUAGAUCGUUCCUGAAAAGAGCACACAAAUGCUGCUUUCUGCAAAUGGGCCAGAUUGAACCCUGGGGCUUUAGUGUCCCCUGCUGCAGACAGAGAGGUGGGAGGGGAGCAUCUCUUUAAAGAAACCAAAAAUUCAUCAUUUUUUUGCUGAAUGAAAAGAGUUAAACACAACUCAAGCAAAAUCUAAAUAUCCCAAAAGUCACAGUAUGUGUUCCAGGAGUUACAUCGAGACCAGGGGGGCCAUGCCAAUCAAAAAGAAAGCAAGAAAGGAAGUAAUGCGGGGCAAGAGAUGGUGAGAUGAAGCGAAAGAUUCCAUCUUUCCCUGGAGCGAGUGAGACGGAGACACAGAUGUCAGUGAACACAAAGUCCCAGGAGACUGUUUGGGGCAGAAGCUCCACUUUCCAACAUCUCACACACUAUUUAGACACAGUUUUUACUUCUUUAAUUGGGUCCAUAUAUAGUGACAUAAUGCAUAUAAGUGCCUGAACACCCUGCGCAGCUGCUCCGAGACUGAAGGAACGCAAGCAACCAGAUGGGACUUCACGAUGGUCCUGUUUGAUCAGGAAACUUCUCAUCUACUUCUAGCCAACCUGUAUAAAUUAUGUAGCUCAAACAGUACAUAUCGCAUCAGCAUGGAAAGAAGUUAUUAAAUGUGAAAGAAGCUUCAAUUAUGAAAAGAGAGUACAGCCACUUCAGAUUGACUGCAGUGUCCAUCAAAACUCUGUCCUUCAGAAAACAAGCAUGAUAAGCAGUUCUGUAGCCGAGACAUCAGUUACAGAGGAUUCAAAGCAGUGAGAUGUUUUGACUCAUGAAUAUAUGACUCAAAGUCGACAUUCAGUAAAAGUUUUUUGUUGUUUUUGACAUUGAAGCAUUGGUUUGAAGAACAUAU